GACGAACGCUGGCGGCGUGCUUAACACAUGCAAGUCGAACGGAAAGGCCCCUUUUGGGGUACUCGAGUGGCGAACGGGUGAGUAACACGUGAGUAACCUGCCCUUGACUUCGGGAUAACUUCAGGAAACUGGGGCUAAUACCGGAUAGGAAUCCUUGCUGCAUGGUGGGGGUUGGAAAGCUUCGGCGGUUUUGGAUGGACUCGCGGCUUAUCAGCUUGUUGGUGGGGUAGUGGCUUACCAAGGCUUUGACGGGUAGCCGGCCUGAGAGGGCGACCGGCCACAUUGGGACUGAGAUAAGGCCCAGACUCCUACGGGAGGAAGAAGUGGGGAAUCUUGCACAAUGGGCGGAAGCCUGAUGCAGAAAGGCCGCGUGCGGGAUGACGGCCUUCGGGUUGUAAACCGCUUUCAGCAGGGGCGAAGCUUGUGGUGACGGUACCUGCAGAAGAAGCACCGGCUAACUACGUG
rnacentral:rRNA from 1 species